UCCCGGGGGCGGCCGGCCACCCGCAGCCCCGAUGCGGAGCCCCUUCUUGCCCGCUGCUGCGCAGGUUCGGUUAUCUAAGCUGUUGCCGCUCAUUUCACUCCCUAAUUUGUUGUUAACCAUCCCUCUAGCUGGUCAGCUCCGUUUCAAGCAGUUGCUCAGUCUCAGGAAAAUCCCCUUGGAGCGCGCUGAUCAGCCAGUUGAUGAGCAUUUGAACUUCCAAGGAAACAAGGUGAUUUGGAUUAAAAAAAAACAAAUCCCACUUGCUUGGAAUGACAGGAAGAAAGAAAUGACAACUCAUGAAGUUGAAGAAACCAGUUUGUGUGCAUGGAGACAGAAGUAGGAACAUCAUGCACAGAAGUUGUGGACUAAGCUAAAGCCAGCUUACUCGAGGAAUGCUGGAGAAGAAAUAUUUCCCAUCUGUUUACAUAGCUGGAAUGUUUCCCCCACUUGUCAGCAGGAUGUCAGGAGAGUAAACUGUGAACUGGAACAUGAUAUUGUGCCAAUCUCUUUUCUCAUCUCCCCAUCUGACUGUCAAGUUCCAGGAUCCAUGAUCACUUGUGUCACACCUAAGCCAUGGAGGUGGCCCAGCCUUGAUCCCUUCAGGUCUCUGAGGUCACCCAGGGAGCAUUACAAAGGAAUAAAAAGCCCUUAUGUGCGAAGACAGUCAGAGAUUCUGAAACACUGGGAGUUUGCUAAACCCAGAGCAGAGAACGUGAACUGGGAUCAGAAGACUGUACUUCACACAAGUGAACAAACAAACCAACCUUCCAAAGAGUUCAUUAACUCAAGGAACAGCUAAGAAAGCCACGGAAUAAGAAGAGGAAGUAAUCCUGGACAAGAUACAAGGGUGUGAAGAGAACUUCAAAGAACCCUGUGAGCACCAUGCACUGUCACAAGGCAGGUAAUUUGGACAAAGGACAGCUGGCUUUGCCUUGAACGGUAGAAAAUGGGCUCAGCAUUUGAGCAAACACAUCUUCUAUAUCACAAAGCCCUCAGAAGGAAAAUUCUUUACAAAACUAUAGAAAUACACCUUUUCUUGGCUUGAAGGAGUCCAGAGCCUUUCUGUGAAUUUCAGAGGUGCCUUCACCAGGGCUGCUGUUUUCACACAACUGUUCCAUUACCUAAGCUAAAUGACAUUUAAAAUGCCUUGGCCACGGAGUCGGCAGCACGUACAAGGAUGUUCAAGCAUGUUUUUGGUUUAUUAGUUCUGUUACAGACACUCAAGCAGAUGAAUGUAAGAAGAGAAACUGGCUUUAUAGUAAAGAGAAAGAGACCUACAGCAGUGACAAAUUAAUUUCCAUCCUGUCAUGACUCAUGAGACAGUGCUACAGUAACAUUAACAAAACGUCAGUUAAAGCGGUAGUAAUUAUUUCCAUUGCUAAUACUGACUCUGGCUUAACAACAUUUACAGGCUUUGUUACACUGUCAUAAAAUAAACACCAAUAUAGAAACAAACCAGAUUAUCCACUUUCGAAAGAAUGGACUUUUUUUCCUUCCUGCGCCCAUGACGGAAUUAUGCCUUGUGAAGGAAAUCAGGGAGGAAGGCAGAUCUGAAAGCAACUCAUGAAAAACCCCAGUGAGGACUUGUGCAAGGUUUUUCACAGCAGCGUGUCCAGUGUCAAAAAGGCCAUGGCCUUGCUUUGCAAGCCAGGCUGCAGGCAGAGGUGGCAGGAGCAGGACCCCAGCAAGGCCUGUCCAGCCCAGGUGACUUUCUUCAGAUGGAUACGUGUG